rnacentral:lncRNA from 1 species
UUUUAGUUUUUUUUUUUUUUUUUAGUUUUUUUAUACUUUUUUUUCUUUUCUUUUUUUUUUUUUUUUUUUUUACGCUGUUUUAAUUUGUGUUUUUUUUUUGUCUGUUUUUUUUUUUUUGCUAAGUUUAGUUUGUUUAAUUUAGUUUUACAGUCUUUUAUUUGUUUUGUUUGUUGCUUUGAUUUAGAUUUAUUUGCCUGUUUUGACGUACUUUCUUUUUUUACUUUUAUUUAAUUUUGCUAUUUAUUU